rnacentral:rRNA from 1 species
CCUACGGGUGGCAGCAGUGGGGGAUAUUGCACAAUGGGGGGAACCCUGAUGCAGCGACGCCGCGUGGGUGAAGGAGCGUUUCGGCGCGUAAAGCCCUAUCAGCAGGGAAGAAGAAGACCGGUACCGGACUAGAAAGCCCCGGCUAACUAGGUGCCAGCAGCCGCGGUAAUACGUAGGGGGCAAGCGUUAUCCGGAUUUACUGGGUGUAAAGGGGGCGCAGACGGGAGGGAAAGCCAGGGGUGAAAGCUCGGGGCUCAACCGUGGGACUGCAAUUGUAACUGCAAGGCUGGAGUGCAGGAGAGGUAGGCGGAAUUCGUGGUGUAGCGGUGAAAUGCUUAGAUAUCACGAAGAACUCCGAUGGCGAAGGCAGCUUGCUGGACUGCCACUGACGUUGAGGCUCGAAAGCGUGGGUAGCAAACAGGAUUAGAUACCCUGGUAGUC